rnacentral:rRNA from 1 species
AACAAACGCUGGCGGCGUGCCUAAUACAUGCAAGUCGAACGAGGAAAGCUUUCGGGUGAGUACUAGUGGCGCACGGGUGAGGAAUAUAUGGGUAAUCUGCCCUCGAGUUGGGAUAACCAGUCGAAAGACUGGCUAAUACCGAAUAAGACCACAGGAUCUGCGGAUCUAGGGGUUAAAGGUUUUUCGCUUGAGGAUGAGCCCAUACGGGAUUAGCUAGUUGGCGAGGUAAUGGCUCACCAAGGCUACGAUCCCUAACUGGUCUUAGAGGAUGAUCAGUCACACUGGAACUGAGACACGGUCCAGACUCCUACGGGAGGCAGCAGUAGGGAAUAUUGCACAAUGGGGGAAACCCUGAUGCAGCGACGCCGCGUGAGUGAUGAAGGCCUUCGGGUCGUAAAGCUCUGUCGUAUGGGACUAACACAAUGAAGGUACCAUGCAAGAAAGGAUCGGCUAACUUCGUGCCAGCCGCCGCCGUAA